AUAAUUUAUUUGAAAGAUCCUCUCUCUACCAACACAGUUUUUCUUUUUACCAUUUUCAGAAAAGUUCCAAGCUCUUUUGUUCUUAAACCAGAGCAUUGCCUCUCCAUUUUUGGGUGAGAACAUACGUCUCUCUCACUCCAAGCUCUCUUUCUUCUCUGAUUUGACCUGCAAAUCUGUCCAGAGAGCCUCAAUGUUCAGUUUUGAAACUCAAAAUCCCGCCCAAAUUUGAACCCAAGCAAACCCUAAUUCGGACAAGCUUUUGGCCACCGCUCAUCCGAGUUAGUGAGUAGAUCUGAUGCCGAGAUUGACGCCCUAGUUCGCUGCACUUCAAAAGGAACUUUCUGCAAGACAGAAAAGGGUGCAUGACCAAGUAUUGAUGUCACACGAUACUGAGAAACUUAGAUUUGGGACCAGCAACAUGUGUAGUAGGAUUGAGGAUGUAGAAUCCAUCCCUGAGGCUACCAAUCCCCUUCACCAUGCCAUUGGUCAAAAACAGGAAGUUGGAUCAAGCAGGUUAGAGUUGGAGGCUUCAUUCUGCUGUGACCACUCACCAGUGUUCAGAUUAGCACUAUGUGUUGCAGCUGAGGGAUUCUCAUAGUGCAAAUCAAGGGAAAACCUGGAAUUGGAACAAUGUUUGAUGACUAAAAAUUUCGAAGCAGUGAUUAUAACAAGCAAGAUGAUCAAAUGGAGCAGACCAAUUGGUAAUACUUGGAAACUCAAUACAAAUGGGAGCUACAUGAGAUAUCAAAACAAGGCUGGAGCGGGAGAGCAAAUCAAGGGAAAAACCUGGAAUGAAGCUCAAGCACAUACACUACACCUGGAAUUGGAACAAAGUAUGUUUGACGGCUGAAAAUUUCGAAACAAUGAUUAUAACAAGCAAGAUGAUCAAAUGGAGCAGACCAAUUGGUAAUACUUGGAAACUCAAUACAGAUGGGGAGCUACAUUAGAAAUCAAAACAAAGCUGGAGCGGGAGGUAUUAUUAGAAACAGAAUUGAGAACGUGAUUAUGGCAUUCUAAUAUCCCACUCAAUUCUGCACUAACAACUAUAGUGAAGGCAAAACAGACUUAAUUAGUAUAUCAUGGUUCCUUCAUCCGCAAUUUGAAGCCCUGGAAGUCUAAUUGGACCCUCUUUUAGUGGUUGAACUGAUCAAUGGAAUUAUUAAAUCAUCAUCGAGAAUCCAAAGAAUAAUUGAAGAGAUAGUAUCUAAGGUUGUUCAAAGGAGAUUGGUGAUGUCGAAACUGUGGUUGAUGUUGCUGCCUCAGAGUAUGGUGUUAUUGAUUUGAAGGAUUCGGAUGAUGAUGCCUCAGUGUAGAAUCUCUCCUCUCCGCAACACCAUUUUGUUGUGGAGUGUGGACGCAACUGCUUUGAUGAAUGAUAAUUUUGGAUGUAAAAACUGUAAGAUAAACAGUGUUAAAAAAUUCAGAACAGAGAAUAGAGUUUCUACUAGUUGAAGAAAAUGAAUUAAGACAACAUACACAUCA